rnacentral:rRNA from 1 species
UACAGAGGGGGCUAGCGUUGUUCGGAAUUAUUGGGCGUAAAGGGCGCGUAGGCGGCCGGAUAAGCCUGACGUGAAAUCCCUCGGCCUAACCGGGGAACUGCGUUUGAUACUGUCCAGCUCGAGUCCGGGAGAGGGUAGUGGAAUUCCCAGUGUAGCGGUGAAAUGCGUAGAUAUUGGGAGGAACACCGGUGGCGAAGGCGGCUACCUGGACCGGUACUGACGCUGAGGCGCGAAAGCCAGGGGAGCAAACGGG